rnacentral:rRNA from 1 species
ACUCCUACGGGAGGCAGCAGUGAGGAAUAUUGGACAAUGGACGCAAGUCUGAUCCAGCCAUGCCGCGUGCAGGAAGAAUGCCCUAUGGGUUGUAAACUGCUUUUAUUUGGGAAUAAACCCUUCUCGUGAGGAGGGCGUGAAGGUAACCAAACGAAUAAGCACCGGCUAACUCCGUGCCAGCAGCCGCGGUAAGUACGGAGGGUGCAAGCGUUAUCCGGAAUCAUUGGGUUUAAAGGGUUCCGCAGGCGGACGUAUAAGUCAGUGGUGAAAGCCUACAGCUUAACUGUAGAACUGCCAUUGAUACUGUAUGUCUUGAAUUCGGUCGAAGUGGGCGGAAUGUGUCAUGUAGCGGUGAAAUGCAUAGAUAUGACACAGAACACCGAUAGCGAAGGCAGCUCACUAGGCCUGAAUUGACGCUCAGGGACGAAAGCGUGGGAGCGAACAGGAUUAGAUACCCCUGGUAGACUGUCA